rnacentral:lncRNA from 1 species
UUCCCUUUUGCUUUCAAUUAGCUGUUCAUUGAUCAUUACCAAAAGUCACUUGAUGAUUAACAGAAAAAGAAUAAACAAUAGGAUGGAAAAAAAGAAGAAAGGACAUAUUUGGAAAUUGUGCAUCGGGAAAGAUGCAGCUGCGAGGAUGAGUAACGGAGCAAGAGGCAGCAGGCUAUUUCCCCUCCCCAACUCUGAAGGAUUACUUGUACAAAAUACAAACCCCUGGGAGUUCUCUCUUGUGCUCGUGGAAUAAUUCAUUAUUACUCACAGGAGUAUCAGGGAUGAAGGAGGACUUUGCCAGAGCAUACCAUCCAGUUCUGAUUAUAACUAGAAGAUAAAUGAUCAUCGACAAAACUGUGUGUGAAACGUACAAAAACUGACACUUGAACAGGGAUCUAAAUGCAAAGUUAGGAACAGCUCUUAGUGCACUCUUAAUGUGUAUGUAGUGCAAUACUGGAAUUUAAAAAUACUUGCAUAGGUGAGAACCAUACAGCAUUAUAUUUGGUUUCAAGAGGGAUUGCAGCAAUGGCUGAGAUUUUUAGCAUUGUAAAAAAUAAUCAUUGAUGUCUACAGCUAAGAAAAAGAAAUUAUCUUUUCAGACAAACCUGCUGUGCCCUGCUUAAAAUUUUAUGUUUUAGGAGGAAAGGGGAACACGUCAUCUUUACGGAGCAGCUACUGAAGGCAUUCUCUAAAUUAUACAAUGCAAUAGCCACUCCCUUCCAUAUUUGCAAGCAUCUGUUUAAAUCUUACGGAUAUGUUUUUAACUGCAGAAGGCAACAAAAGGUAUUUCUGCUACAUAUUCUGGAACCUCGUUGGGAUCUUUCUGGCACCAGUUAGCUCAACUUUGUGGCACACCAAGGAUAUGUUUGCACCUAACGGCAGGCUAUUGUAUAGUAAUAUCAUACCAGGCCAAUAAAUAUCAGGCAUGGAGGUGGCCA